rnacentral:tRNA from 1 species
AGGCAAAGAAGAUCUAUAAAAAGCUGCUAACUUUUUUAUAAGGUAGUUUAAUUCUACCUUUUACCUA